AAACAAUCUCUGCUGCAUUCCUGGGAGGCCUAUGGAGAAUGUGACUGGUGAUCAGGAAUCUGAUGAGGAACCAUCCACCUCCAAAGCUCAGCUUGGAACAAUGGCUGUUAAAGAUUUAUACAAGGUUCACCUAAAAAAAACAAAUUGAGAAGUGUGAUCUUCAAAAGGAACACCAUAAAACUGCAAAUAAAACAGACAAGACUGGAAAUUGAG